rnacentral:rRNA from 1 species
UACGAAGGGGGCGAGCGUUGUUCGGAAUUACUGGGCGUAAAGCGCACGUAGGCGGCUUUGUAAGUUAGAGGUGAAAGCCUGGAGCUCAACUCCAGAACUGCCUUUAAGACUGCAUCGCUUGAAUCCAGGAGAGGUGAGUGGAAUUCCGAGUGUAGAGGUGAAAUUCGUAGAUAUUCGGAAGAACACCAGUGGCGAAGGCGGCUCACUGGACUGGUACUGACGCUGAGGUGCGAAAGCGUGGGGAGCAAACAGG